GCCAUCCCUAAUUAACCUCAACUUGCAGUCCAAGGAUAAUUCCUCUUAACUAGGUGGUUACGAUAGAAACAUUUCUAUACAUUUUUAAAUAUUUUUUUGUAGAACUGAGGAAUGCACUUCAAAUUCAAGUACUAUGUAUUCAUAAAAAUUGAUCUUAAAAAUUUGGUUCUGAUUAUUUGGCUCUCUUUUGGAAUCUAACAUUAAGACACUUUUUAAAAAAGUGACAGGCUACUUACCCUCCCUUCCAAUGAUAUAUUUGUAAAAAUGGUACCCAUGACCUUACUGUCUCAAACAAAUGGGCAUGUGAGGAGGAUAAAAUGUCUCUAUUGUUUCUACUGUUCUCCUUGAAGAAGCAAAGACCAAGUAACCACAACAAAAUGGUCACCUGGGAGCACCGUCUACAUGGAGACUGCGAAAGACAACAGUGGGGACAACUGAGUGAGCCUCCACUGAAUGUCUGCAGAGACCGGCCAGAUGAGGGGAUGAUGGAGUUGCCUGCUUGACUCGUUCCUGUACUUUUAUCCCAACAAAACAUGACACACACCGAGAUGUGAAAGCUGUCGACUUUUCUUUGUAAAUGUUUCUACCCAGGAAGACAUGAUUUCACCCACCAUGAAGCCUUCUGGAAGCACAUUCCUCUGACGCUGCAGCAGCGGUAAGAAGGAAAGAUGGAAAAGAGAAGUUAUCAUUUCUUUCUCAAGAUCCUGGCCCCAUGAGCCUCAGUGUAGCCCUAGUUCCUGGGAUCAGCACCAACAGGCAGGGAGGAGAGGCUCUGGCGCCCUGCAGACAGCACCAGGUUCUUGGCAUCAGGAGCUGGAUACAGAGUCCCUGAUAAUCCCAGCCACAGAAUAUUUCAAACUCACCGACAUGUCCUCUAAAUAUCAGAUAUGAAAAGGCUUCCACUCUUGCACCUGUCUUGCUAUUAUUUUACAGAUGUGUUCUAAAAGCUAUAAAGACGGAAAUCACUAUUAGUGUGUCACUUAUGUGAUAUUCAGACACCUGAGCUCUGUGAUGAUUUUAAUGCCCCACAGGUCUUUCAGAAAUCCACCUCAUAUACCUCAGAACGCCCCUCCAUCUGCAAGGGAACGCAUGUGGAACAGGUGGAGAAGGAAUUCUUUUAGGCCCAUGGGUAGAAUUGUAAGGACUCUUGUAAAUGCUUCUUCUGUAGUAGAGAAGCUGGACGGUAUGUGUGUGUGCUUAUGCGUGUUUGAAUGGACGCAGGAAAAAUCAAUAAUCUGCUUGCAUCAACACCUAAAUAAAACCAAAAUAAUCCCAUGAUUUGCCUAAAACCAAAUUAAUCUCUAGGAAAAGCCUGCUGUGACAGAGUUGUGUGGGGGCGGGAAUUACAAAAGAAACGCAGAAUUUCCCCGAGCUUCCGCUUUGCAGGAAUCUCUGUUCCGUUACUCACUAUUUUGAGAGAGCCCUGCUUCUUCCUCCUUCUCCCCACCACACGUCAAUGUCAUUUUCACAGGGGGGAGGCUACAGGAAGCACACAUCUGCAGUGUGUCACCUCCCGAGGCUGACAGAUCU
rnacentral:lncRNA from 1 species